CCUAAAGGAGUUUCUCCUAUGCUGGAUGUGAGUCCGUGGAACGCACCGUUUCGGUCACGGCUGAGCGUUGAACUAGCAUAGGUUUCGGCCCGAAAAUAGUCGGCACGGGUUCAAAUCCGGUGAUCCGAGCUCUGUGCCAAAUCAGAGAUGCUGGUCAUUUCCUUUAUUUUUUCGGAGGUUGUAAGAUGCUGUGCAUAUGCUAAUUAUGCUAAAUACAUACACACACUGAAAGUAAUGAUGUUACAAGGAUGGACGAAUAGGUCAUGAGGUAUUAUUAUAUAAACCAAGGAGGAAGCAUGUAACUAGAAAACCUGCCGAGUGGUUAACCAUCUGGUAAGUGCUCACUAUUGAAACGCCAGUAAAAUGACAAGACGGACACGAACACCCAUCACAUAAGGCUUGAAUUUUCCUGGCUUUGGGCCCUCUACCGCUUGAGAUUAAGAAAAAAAAUUUUAAUCCAUCAUGGAGUAAACCAUACGAUCAUUUUUUCCCAAAGAACGACAUAAUGUUGCCCUGGCCCGUCUUCUGGCUUCCCUUGUUACUAGAAGUAGGCUUUGAGUUCACUGAAACAGCCGGUUUUCUUUUCACAGGUGGUGGCGCUUCGUCCUCGGAAAACGAUUCCCAGACAGGUUCUUCUUUCGUGACUGUGCAAUUAGAAAAGAGGG
rnacentral:sRNA from 1 species